GAUGAAGAACGCAGUGAAAUGCGAUAAGUAGUGUGAAUUGCAGAAUUCAGUGAAUCAUCGAAUCUUUGAACGCACAUUGCGCCCGGUAGUAUUCUGCCGGGCAUGCCUGUUCGAGCGUCAUUUCAACCAUCAAGCCCCAGCGCUUGUGUUGGGGGCCUGCGGCUGCCGCAGCCCCCUAAAAGCAGUGGCGGGCUCGCUAUCACACCGAGUGCAGUAGUUCAUCUUCUCUCCGGUCUUGUGAGGCGGGUUCCGGCCGUGAAACACCCCACUACAUUCAAGGUUGACCUCGGAUCAGGUAGGAAUACCCGCUGAACUUAAGCAUAUCAAUAAGCGGAGGA
rnacentral:misc_RNA from 1 species